GACGAACGCUGGCGGCGUGCUUAACACAUGCAAGUCGAACGGAAAGGCCCUGCUUUUGUGGGGUGCUCGAGUGGCGAACGGGUGAGUAACACGUGAGUAACCUGCCCUUGACUUUGGGAUAACUUCAGGAAACUGGGGCUAAUACCGGAUAGGAGCUCCUGCUGCAUGGUGGGGGUUGGAAAGUUUCGGCGGUUGGGGAUGGACUCGCGGCUUAUCAGCUUGUUGGUGGGGUAGUGGCUUACCAAGGCUUUGACGGGUAGCCGGCCUGAGAGGGUGACCGGCCACAUUGGGACUGAGAUACGGCCCAGACUCCUACGGGAGGCAGCAGUGGGGAAUAUUGCACAAUGGGCGGAAGCCUGAUGCAGCAACGCCGCGUGCGGGAUGACGGCCUUCGGGUUGUAAACCGCUUUCGCCUGUGACGAAGCGUGAGUGACGGUAAUGGGUAAAGAAGCACCGGCUAACUACGUGCCAGCAGCCGCGGUGAUACGUAGGGUGCGAGCGUUGUCCGGAUUUAUUGGGCGUAAAGGGCUCGUAGGUGGUUGAUCGCGUCGGAAGUGUAAUCUUGGGGCUUAACCCUGAGCGUGCUUUCGAUACGGGUUGACUUGAGGAAGGUAGGGGAGAAUGGAAUUCCUGGUGGAGCGGUGGAAUGCGCAGAUAUCAGGAGGAACACCAGUGGCGAAGGCGGUUCUCUGGGCCUUUCCUGACGCUGAGGAGCGAAAGCGUGGGGAGCGAACAGGCUUAGAUACCCUGGUAGUCCACGCUGUAAACGGUGGGUACUAAGUGUGGGGUCCAUUCCACGGGUUCCGUGCCGUAGCUAACGCUUUAAGUACCCCGCCUGGGGAGUACGGCCGCAAGGCUAAAACUCAAAGGAAUUGACGGGGCCCCGCACAAGCGGCGGAGCAUGCGGAUUAAUUCGAUGCAACGCGUAGAACCUUACCUGGGUUUGACAUGGAUCGGGAGUGCUCAGAGAUGGGUGUGCCUCUUUUGGGGUCGGUUCACAGGUGGUGCAUGGCUGUCGUCAGCUCGUGUCGUGAGAUGUUGGGUUAAGUCCCGCAACGAGCGCAACCCUUGUUCACUGUUGCCAGCACGUUAUGGUGGGGACUCAGUGGAGACCGCCGGGGUCAACUCGGAGGAAGGUGGGGAUGACGUCAAGUCAUCAUGCCCCUUAUGUCCAGGGCUUCACGCAUGCUACAAUGGCUGGUACAGAGAGUGGCGAGCCUGUGAGGGUGAGCGAAUCUCGGAAAGCCGGUCUCAGUUCGGAUUGGGGUCUGCAACUCGACCUCAUGAAGUCGGAGUCGCUAGUAAUCGCAGAUCAGCAACGCUGCGGUGAAUACGUUCCCGGG
rnacentral:rRNA from 1 species